ACCCCUCAUCCCUCCCACCUUUCCCACCCCCUGCCCCUCCUUACCUUCCUUCCCACCCUGGAGGUUGUGAAACUUCCUUUGCCCCCUGCUUCAUAAGGUCAAGAAGACAAGGCUUGAAGUGUACUUUUUCAUCACACCUGAGUAUGACUCAACCCUUCAAAGCUUCACAACCAGCCGCCGCUCUCCUCAUUGAGGAUAUAAGGAUAUCGAGUAUCUUUUUCCGGAAGUGACUCCCCCACCCUUGUGGAAAUCUGCAAAAGGGGGGCCUCCCCCCCCAGAAAACAGGGAAAAGACGACAGAUUGCCCUUCAAGUCCCUGGGGUUCCCAGUGCCGUGAGCGGUUCUUGUCUCCGCAUCUCUUGUCUCCGCUGAGCCACUGGAGAAUGACCGCUUCGGAGCCUACGGGUGGCUGUGUAUCUGUGCAGAUGAGGAAACUGAAACUCAGAAGUCGGUGAUUUGCUUAAAGUUAUAUAUACCAAGCAAGUGGGCUCUCUCCUAAGCAGAUUUCUCUCUAGCCCAAGGAAGAAUUUUUUUUUUAACAUUUAUUUAUCUUUGAGAGACAGAGACAG